AUGGAGUUUUGUGAUCUCCAUGCUUUCAAUUUGGCAAUGUUAGCAAAACAAGUGUGGAGGUUAAUCACAAACCCCAAUACUUUGUGUGCGAGAGUUCUGAAAGCUAAGUACUUUCCCAACGGAGAUUUAUUGUCAGCAGGUCCAAAAAAGGGUUCCUCCUUUACUUGGCAGAGUAUUGUUGCAGGGAUACAGACUUUUAAAAGAGGUCAUAUUUGGAGAGUCGACACUGGGAAAAACAUUAAAAUAUGGGAGGAUCAUUGGAUCCCCUCAAGUCCAUCGAGGAAAGUCAUAACACCAAGGAAUAAUAUUGUUCUAAGUACUGUUGAUCAACUUAUCAACCCUAUCACUGGCAUAUGGGAUGAGGAGUUGAUUUUGGAUAUUUUCAGUCCGGUCGACUCAGUAAGAAUCUUGCAAAUCCCUGUUAUACCUGGUACAGUUGAUGAUUUUGUAGCUCGGCAGAUGACAAGAAAAGGAGCUUUCUCAGUUCGGUCAUAUGGGAUGAGGAGUUGA
rnacentral:rRNA from 1 species